rnacentral:rRNA from 1 species
UUCGGGGGUACACGAGCGGCGAACGGGUGAGUAACACGUGGGUGACCUGCCCUCCACUCUGGGAUAAGCCUGGGAAACUGGGUCUAAUACCGGAUAGGACCAUUGAUCGCAUGGUUGGUGGUGGAAAGUUUUUUCGGUGGGGGAUGGGCCCGCGGCCUAUCAGCUUGUUGGUGGGGUGAUGGCCUACCAAGGCGGUGACGGGUAGCCGGCCUGAGAGGGCGACCGGCCACACUGGGACUGAGACACGGCCCAGACUCCUACGGGAGGCAGCAGUGGGGAAUAUUGCGCAAUGGGCGGAAGCCUGACGCAGCGACGCCGCGUGGGGGAUGACGGCCUUCGGGUUGUAAACCUCUUUCGCCAGGGACGAAGAGUGAUUGACGGUACCUGGAGAAGAAGCACCGGCCAACUACGUGCCAGCAGCCGCGGUAACACGUAGGGUGCGAGCGUUGUCCGGAAUUAUUGGGCGUAAAGAGCUCGUAGGCGGUGUGUCGCGUCGGCCGUGAAAACUUGGGGCUUAACUCUGAGCGUGCGGUCGAUACGGGCAUCACUUGAGUUCGGCAGGGGAGACUGGAAUUCCUGGUGUAGCGGUGAAAUGCGCAGAUAUCAGGAGGAACACCGGUGGCGAAGGCGGGUCUCUGGGCCGAUACUGACGCUGAGGAGCGAAAGCGUGGGGAGCGAACAGGAUUAGAUACCCUGGUAGUCCACGCCGUAAACGUUGGGCGCUAGGUGUGGGGACCAUUCCACGGUUUCUGUGCCGCAGCUAACGCAUUAAGCGCCCCGCCUGGGGAGUACGGCCGCAAGGCUAAAACUCAAAGGAAUUG